ACAAAAGUAUAUUUCAUGGAAUUUUUGCUUUCACAGGCCCUACACUGUCACAGGCGGUGGCGGAGGAGGAGGACCAGGACUCUAUGUCCAUCACCUCACUGCACCCAUUAAGCCCUACACUGGAACAGGCCACGGAGGAGGAGGAGGAUGAUGAUGAUGAUGAUGCUGCUGCAUUUAGUGACGACGAGCCAGAAUACAUUUUUGUCCGUCGCCAACCAGUGGAGGAGACACCUGUGCCAAUGAUUUAUGGGGGCCCCAGACAGGGGCAAGAUAGGUGGGCUGGCCA